CGAAAGCCUGACGGAGCAAUACCGCGUGAGGGAGGAAGGCUUUUGGGUUGUAAACCUCUUUUGUCAGGGAAGAAAAUUUGACGGUACCUGAAGAAAAAGCAUCGGCUAACUCCGUGCCAGCAGCCGCGGUAAUACGGAGGAUGCAAGCGUUAUCCGGAAUAAUUGGGCGUAAAGGGUCCGCAGGUGGCCAUUCAAGUCUGCUGUCAAAGACCGUGGCUCAACCACGGAAAGGCAGUGGAAACUGUUUAGCUAGAGUACGGUAGGGGUAGAGGGAAUUCCCAGUGUAGCGGUGAAAUGCGUAGAUAUUGGGAAGAACACCGGUGGCGAAAGCGCUCUACUGGGCCGAAACUGACACUGAGGGACGAAAGCUAGGGUAGCGAAAGGGAUUAGAUACCCCUGUAGUCUUAGCUGUAAACGAUGGAUACUAGGUGUAGCUUGUAUCGACCCGAGCUGUGCCGAAGCUAACGCGUUAAGUAUCCCGCCUGGGGAGUACGCACGCAAGUGUGAAACUCAAAGGAAUUGACGGGGGCCCGCACAAGCGGUGGAGUAUGUGGUUUAAUUCGAUGCAACGCGAAGAACCUUACCAGGGCUUGACAUGUGGCGAAUCUCUGUGAAAGCAGGGAGUGCCUUAGGGAGCGCCAACACAGGUGGUGCAUGGCUGUCGUCAGCUCGUGUCGUGAGAUGUUGGGUUAAGUCCCGCAACGAGCGCAACCCUCGUUUUUAGUUGCCAUUUUAAUGGCUCUCUAGAGAGACUGCCGGGGACAACUCGGAGGAAGGUGGGGAUGACGUCAAGUCAGCAUGCCCUUUACGCCCUGGACUACACACGUACUACAAUGGUUGGGACAAAGGGCAGCAAACCCGCGAGGGCAAGCGAAUCUCAUCAAACCCAGCCUCAGUUCAGAUUGCAGGCUGCAACUCGCCUGCAUGAAGGAGGAAUCGCUAGUAAUCGCAGGUCAGCAUACUGCGGUGAAUUCGUUCCCGGGCCUUGUACACACCGCCCGUCACACCAUGGAAGCUGGCUACGCCCGAAGUCGUUACCCUAACCCUUAGGGGAGGGGGAUGCCGAAGGUAGAGCUAGUGACUGGGGUGAAGUCGUAACAAGGUAGCCGUACCGGAAGGUGUGGCUGGAUCACCUCCUUUA
rnacentral:rRNA from 1 species